GCUAAAACAUGAACCUAUAAGUAUUGAGUAAUAAAUAAUGUAGGUAACUUGAUAUUCUCCAUAAUUUACAAGGCAUUGAGUCCAAGAGCUCUAGCCUUGAGUUUCAAAGAAUUCAAGCAAUGUAUGGCCUCAUCCAGAAGCUGAAUUGGUUCCUUGUCCUUACCAUUUGGAACUAUGCAUUGCAGAAUGCUUAGAACAUUCUGAAUCUUUUCCUUUCUCAUCUUCUUAUGGCCUGUUAAGGAACCAAUUUCAGGUGACCCUCUGCCGUAAUUGCUACCCGAGCACCUUGAUUCUGCGUCGUCAUCAUCAUCAACACCGCGGUUGAGAUCAAAGGGUCUGUUUCGUUUUAGAGAGCUUGCAGUGUCCAUAAACUGCACAUCAACAUCACUAUAAGCCAUAUUG
rnacentral:lncRNA from 1 species